UUCCAUUGCCUGAAUAUAUGCUACUUUC
rnacentral:sRNA from 1 species